rnacentral:rRNA from 1 species
UGGAACCGGAGAGAACUAAUAGGGAUUGCCUUAGUAACGGCGAGUGAAGCGGCAACAGCUUAAAUUUGAAAUCUAGCUCUUUUAGAGUCUAAGUUGUAAUUUGCAGAGGGCGCUUUGGCGUUGGCAGCGGUCUAAGUUCCUUAGAACAGGACGUUAUAGAGGGUAAGAAUUCUGUACGUAGUCGCUAGCUAUUACCGUGUAAAGCCCCUUCGACAAGUCGAGUUGUUUGGGAAUGCAGCUCUAAAUGGGAGGUAAAUUUCUUCUAAAGCUAAAUACUAGCUAGAGACUAAUAGCGCACAAGUAGAGUAAUUGAAAGAUAAAAAGCACUUUAGAAAGAGAGUUAAAUAGCACGUGAAAUUGUUGAAAGGGAAGCGCUUGCAGCUAGACUUGCCUGUAGUUGCUUAUCUAGGCUUUUGCCUGGUGCACUCUUCUGCGGGCAGGCUAGCAUUAGUUUAGGUGGUUAGAUAAAGGUCUCUGUUAUGUACCUCUCUUUGGGGAGAACUUAUAGGGGAGACGAUAUACAACUAGCCUAGACUAAGGUCCGCGCAUUUGCUAGGAUGCUGGCGUAAUGGCUGUAAGCGGCCUGUCUUAAAACACGGACUAAGAAGUCUAAUAUCUAUGCGAGUGUUUGGGUGUUAAGCCUGAGCGCGUAAUAAAAGUGAACGGAGGUAGGACUCCUUUUAGGGUGCACUAUUAACUAAUCCUAAUGUCUUUGGAUGGAUUUGAGUAAGAGCAUAGCUGUUAGGACCUAAAAGAUAGUGAACUAUGCUUGAAUAGGGUGAAGCUAGAGGAAACUCUAGUGGAGGCUCGCAGCGGUUCUAACGUGCAAAUCGAUUGUUAAAUUUGGGCAUAGGGGCGAAAGACUAAUUGAACUAUCUAGUAGCUAGUUCCUGCUGAAGUUUCCCUUAGGAUAGCAGUAACGUAUUCAGUUUUAUAAGGUAAAGCGAAUGAUUAGAGGCCUAGGGGUUGAAACAACCUUUACCUAUUCUUAAACUUUAAAUAUGUAAGAAGUCCUUGUUACUUAAUUGAACGUGGACACUUGAAUGUACUGUUACUAGUGGGCUAUUUUUGGUAAGCAGAACUGGCGAUGCGGGAUAAACUAAACGUGGGGUUAAGGUGCUAGAAUGCACGCUUAUUAGACACUACAAAAGGUGUUAGUUUAUCUAGAUAGUAGGACGGUGGCUAUGGAAGUUGGAAUCCGCUAAGGAGUGUGUAACAACUUACCUGCUAAAUGAACUAGCCCUAAAAAUAGAUAGCGCUUAAGCGUGUUACCUAUACCCUACCGCUGGGGCAAGAUUUAAGCCCUAGCGAGUAGGCAGGCGUGGAGGCCUGUAACGAAGCCUAGGGAGGACCCUAGCAAGCGUUUCCC